rnacentral:rRNA from 1 species
AUUGAACGCUGGCGGCAUGCUUUACACAUGCAAGUCGAACGGCAGCGCGGGCUUCGGCCUGGCGGCGAGUGGCGAACGGGUGAGUAAUGCAUCGGAACGUGCCCAGUAGUGGGGGAUAGCCCGGCGAAAGCCGGAUUAAUACCGCAUACGACCUGAGGGUGAAAGCGGGGGACCGAAAGGCCUCGCGCUAUUGGAGCGGCCGAUGUCGGAUUAGCUAGUUGGUGGGGUAAAGGCUUACCAAGGCGACGAUCCGUAGCUGGUCUGAGAGGACGACCAGCCACACUGGGACUGAGACACGGCCCAGACUCCUACGGGAGGCAGCAGUGGGGAAUUUUGGACAAUGGGGGCAACCCUGAUCCAGCCAUGCCGCGUGCGGGAAGAAGGCCUUCGGGUUGUAAAACGCUUUUGUUCGGGAAGAAAACCUCUGGGCUAAUACCCCGGGGGGAUGACGGUACCGGAAGAAUAAGCACCGGCUAACUACGUG